CGCAAGGGCGGGUGCUACCAUGCAGUCGACGAUGAUGCCCAGCUUGCUGGGUGGAUUAGUGGCGAACGGGUGAGUAAUACGUGAGUAACCUGCCCUUGACUCUGGGAUAAGCCUGGGAAACUGGGUCUAAUACUGGAUACUACCGUCCAUCGCAUGGUGGGUGGUGGAAAGGGUUUUACUGGUUUUGGAUGGGCUCACGGCCUAUCAGCUUGUUGGUGGGGUAAUGGCUCACCAAGGCGACGACGGGUAGCCGGCCUGAGAGGGUGACCGGCCACACUGGGACUGAGACACGGCCCAGACUCCUACGGGAGGCAGCAGUGGGGAAUAUUGCACAAUGGGCGGAAGCCUGAUGCAGCGACGCCGCGUGAGGGAUGACGGCCUUCGGGUUGUAAACCUCUUUCAGUAGGGAAGAAGCGAGAGUGACGGUACCUGCAGAAGAAGCGCCGGCUAACUACGUGCCAGCAGCCGCGGUAAUACGUAGGGCGCAAGCGUUGUCCGGAAUUAUUGGGCGUAAAGAGCUCGUAGGCGGUUUGUCGCGUCUGCUGUGAAAGCCCGGGGCUCAACCCCGGGUCUGCAGUGGGUACGGGCAGACUAGAGUGCAGUAGGGGAGACUGGAAUUCCUGGUGUAGCGGUGAAAUGCGCAGAUAUCAGGAGGAACACCGAUGGCGAAGGCAGGUCUCUGGGCUGUUACUGACGCUGAGGAGCGAAAGCAUGGGGAGCGAACAGGAUUAGAUACCCUGGUAGUCCAUGCCGUAAACGUUGGGCACUAGGUGUGGGGGACAUUCCACGUUCUCCGCGCCGUAGCUAACGCAUUAAGUGCCCCGCCUGGGGAGUACGGCCGCAAGGCUAAAACUCAAAGGAAUUGACGGGGGCCCGCACAAGCGGCGGAGCAUGCGGAUUAAUUCGAUGCAACGCGAAGAACCUUACCAAGGCUUGACAUUCACCGGACCGCUCCAGAGAUGGGGUUYCCYUUCGGGGUCGGUGGACAGGUGGUGCAUGGUUGUCGUCAGCUCGUGUCGUGAGAUGUUGGGUUAAGUCCCGCAACGAGCGCAACCCUCGUUCUAUGUUGCCAGCACGUGAUGGUGGGGACUCAUAGGAGACUGCCGGGGUCAACUCGGAGGAAGGUGGGGAUGACGUCAAAUCAUCAUGCCCCUUAUGUCUUGGGCUUCACGCAUGCUACAAUGGCCGGUACAAAGGGUUGCGAUACUGUGAGGUGGAGCUAAUCCCAAAAAGCCGGUCUCAGUUCGGAUUGAGGUCUGCAACUCGACCUCAUGAAGUCGGAGUCGCUAGUAAUCGCAGAUCAGCAACGCUGCGGUGAAUACGUUCCCGGGCCUUGUACACACCGCCCGUCAAGUCACGAAAGUUGGUAACACCCGAAGCCGGUGGCCUAACCCCUUGUGGGAGGAGCCGUCGAAGGUGGACUGGCAGUG
rnacentral:rRNA from 1 species